rnacentral:rRNA from 1 species
UACAGAGGGUGCGAGCGUUAAUCGGAUUUACUGGGCGUAAAGCGUGCGUAGGUGGCCAAUUAAGUCAAAUGUGAAAUCCCUGAGCUUAACUUAGGAAUUGCAUUCGAUACUGGUUGGCUAGAGUAUGGGAGAGGAUGGUAGAAUUCCAGGUGUAGCGGUGAAAUGCGUAGAGAUCUGGAGGAAUACCGAUGGCGAAGGCAGCCAUCUGGCCUAAUACUGACGCUGAGGUACGAAAGCAUGGGGAGCAAACAGG